AUCACACUAGCAUAUUAUUUAUGUCUGAUAUGCCUAAUUUAGUAAGAGGUUGCGAGCGUUGAGGAAUAUGUCAUGCAAUAUGACACCUCAGGACAUAAUGUUCAGUGUAUUGUUCUGUCAACUGACAGAAAUUGCCUAAAUUUAAUUACUGAUGGUGCUUCAAGGGGAAAAGGAUGGCGCUAGUUAGUGUACAUGGAAAGUGUUGCUUCCUUGUUUUGUCCGGAAGGUUUGCUUUGAUCAUCUAUCUUGUGCCUGCAAAUCAUGAUCUGCUUUCAUCUAUUGAAACCACAAUAUUUGGGAAACCUACAGCUAUAUGCCUUUUGGCCAGAAAUCCUAUUAGCUGAAUAAUUUGCACUUACUGCAUAAUAUAGUCGCACCCAGCUUGUGGUUAACCAAUCACGUUUCAUGUUUGCUGUUACAGACUAUUCUUUUCUUGCCGAUCUUUUGCUUGCCAAGAUGGACACUAGUCUUGAUUUUCUAUUUUUGUUCCAUUAAAUGGAAAACCUUUCAUUUUUGUUUUUGUUUUAGUGGUUUUAAUGUUCAAACUUUGAAUCUCAAAUGAAGCUUAUCAUACACUAAUGAAGCUUAUAUCUUUUCGGAGUUAUGAAUCGGGUCCUAAUUUGUUUAUACAUGAUGACAAUGUUGAUGCUAGACCUAUGUAACGAUGGGAUCCAACACGUUAUGAUUUUCAGUGGGGGCUGAAAAUCAGGUUGGGAUGACAUGGCCUUUUGUAGUGGUUUCCAUGAUGCUCUCUCUUCAACUUGUAACUCGUUUCCAUUUGUUUUCUACCAGGGUUGUAUGGUAGGUUUUGUUAUCUCCUUUUUGUGAGGAUUCUGGUCACAAUUUUACUCUCAUGAUUACCUCUUGGACAUUUUUUUUUUCUCUCACAUUCUUUGCCCGAUAUUUGUAUAUUGGCCAAAUUUUGUUCACCCUCCCUUUGAAAGAACAAGAUGCUAAUCCUUAUUUACUGUUGGACCAGCAAAUCUCGACACCAAGAUGUUCCAACAUAUGAAUGACUUAAAUUAUUUCAUUGCGGUGACACUUUAGAUGUACUGUUGGAUGUAUAUAUAGCUGAAAACUCAAAAAG
rnacentral:lncRNA from 1 species